rnacentral:rRNA from 1 species
UACAGAGGGUGCGAGCGUUAAUCGGAAUUACUGGGCGUAAAGCGUGCGUAGACGGUUUCGUAAGUCGGGUGUGAAAUCCCCGGGCUCAACCUGGGAAUUGCAUUCGAAACUGCGAGGCUAGGGUACGGAAGAGGGAAGCGGAAUUUCUGGUGUAGCGGUGAAAUGCGUAGAUAUCAGGAGGAAUACCGGUGGUGCAGACGGCUCUCUGGACCGCAACUGACGCUGAGACACGAAAGCGUGGGUAGCAAACAGG